CAAUCCAGCUUCAUCUUAGAGACAAAGGCAAUGGACCACUGACCCAUGUAACCUGAUCAUUAGCAAAAAAAUGGAUUCUGUCUCGAGCAUCAGGAAAUGAGAUAGAUGUCAGCUCAUUGCAGGUCUCGCUCCCAUUAACCCUUUAGGAGACUGCCGCUGAAGUUGAACGUUUCACCUUCCUAUCAAGUCCCCUCCCCCACCGCCUGUUUACAGCCACCCACCCGUCCUCUUCUUCUCCUUCUACUUUUUGUCUGAAAAGAAGACUUGACAUCCUAACAAACUUAAAAAAGCCAGACACUUUAAAUUAGCAAAAAGAAACAGAAGAGAUAUCUGCUCCAUAAGGCUAAAAGGAACGGAAAUGCUUAUGAUCUCACGAG